AGUCCACACUCCCAACCACUUUCCUUAUCAGGCUCUCAAACUCUGGGCCACAAUAUGUAAGACCCAAUCACCCCAGGAUCAGGAAUCAGAUAUCUAGGGACAGCUUCUGUGCCCAGGAGCUUGUAAAAUUAUUCACAUUGGUCAAUGCACAAGGAUCCCUGAAAACCUAGCUAACCCCAAUUUACAUGGCACACACAAGCUGCCCCCUACAGCUCCAGCUUGCUGUUAUCUUGGGUUCCCUCAUAACUGUUGCAGCCCUACCUAUGUCCUUAGGUUUCAAGCUGUAAGUAGCAAAGUGGUCUACAUUUUAUGAUUAUCAUUGUGACAUGUUCUGACAUCAGAAAAACAUCUUUGUAUGUUACUACUAUACAACCAACAGAAUAUUGUGAGUGCACCAAAUGUUAGAAAGUCUUCAGCCUAACUUCACUGAGCAAGAGUAAGUUCAUCCUGGAGAAAGUCCUUAGGAAUACAGGCAAUAUACUUUUUUUCCUUUGUCAAUAGGUCAAAAAUAGCAAAGCUCU
rnacentral:antisense_RNA from 1 species